rfam:Schistosoma mansoni, Puerto Rico, WGS project CABG01000000 data, contig: 0049
AUCCAGAUGACGAGUCCCAAAUAGGACGAAAUAUAAGUAAACUGGAU